GGGGGGGUGGGUAUAAACCAGGUUAAAUCCACCAUUUUCUACCUAAGACAAUGCAUGUGCCAAGUCAGGAAUAUCACAGUUGUUAUCCAUUCGUUUGCUGUGUUUAAGCCUUUGAUUGUGCCGUUUGAUCAUGGACUUUCCGUUUUGGAUUUUUCUCGGAAUUCGGUAUUUUUAUUAUUUUACUUUUUACUUCUUACUCAUACAUAGCAUAUGUGAUUUACCAUUCAAAGAAUUUUGUGUGUGUGUGUGUGUG
rnacentral:lncRNA from 1 species